UACGUAGGGGGCGAGCGUUGUCCGGAUUUAUUGGGCGUAAAGAGCUCGUAGGCGGUUCGGCAAGUCGACGGUGAAAUCUCCACGCUCAACGUGGAGGGGUCCGUCGAUACUGCUGUGACUCGAGUCCGGUAGGGGAGUGUGGAAUUCCCGGUGUAGCGGUGAAAUGCGCAGAGAUCGGGAGGAACACCCGUAGCGAAGGCGGCACUCUGGGCCGGUACUGACGCUGAGGAGCGAAAGCCAGGGGAGCAAACGGG
rnacentral:rRNA from 1 species